AGAGUUUGAUCCUGGCUCAGAUUGAACGCUGGCGGCAUGCCUUACACAUGCAAGCCGAACGGCAGCACGGGGGCAACCCUGGUGGCGAGUGGCGAACGGGUGAGUAAAGCAUCGGAACGUGCCCUGGAGUGGGGGAUAACGUAGCGAAAGUUACGCUAAUACCGCAUAUUCUGUGAGCAGGAAAGCAGGGGAUCGCAAGACCUUGCGCUCUGGGAGCGGCCGAUGUCGGAUUAGCUAGUUGGUGGGGUAAAGGCCUACCAAGGCGACGAUCCGUAGCGGGUCUGAGAGGAUGGUCCGCCACACUGGGACUGAGACACGGCCCAGACUCCUACGGGAGGCAGCAGUGGGGAAUUUUGGACAAUGGGCGAAAGCCUGAUCCAGCCAUGCCGCGUGAGUGAAGAAGGCCUUCGGGUUAUAAAGCUCUUUCGGUGGGGAAGAAAUUGCAUGGGUUAAUACCCUGUGUAGAUGACGGUACCUGGAGAAGAAGCACCGGCUAACUACGUG
rnacentral:rRNA from 1 species